GCCGAUGAUGCCAACCUUCAUUACCGAAAGCAAGUUCUUCCACUUGAACCGUGUGGAAAAUUUUAAGAACUAGGACGGUCUGAGGC
rfam:Musa acuminata subsp. malaccensis Doubled-haploid Pahang (DH-Pahang) genomic chromosome, chr5